CAUCGCAGAAUUUCUGUUGGUUGGGAAAGAGAAAUGGGAGACAGAGGAGCAGCCACUCUGAAGAGCUGAAUGGAGGCUGCUGCCACAAUCAUCAUUGAGAUUUCCUGUCAAGGCAUUUGCCACCAUUAGCCCUCUUCUUCUGACUGCUUGUUGUUUGUACUUCCUAGAGGCCAUGGUCAUGCAUCAGCCCUACUCAUUUAAAGAUCACACAAAAAG
rnacentral:lncRNA from 1 species